UACGUAGGGUCCGAGCGUUGUCCGGAAUUAUUGGGCGUAUAGGGCUCGUAGGCGGUCUGUUGCGUCGGGAGUGAAAACUUACAGCUUAACUGUGAGCGUGCUUUCGAUACGGGCAGACUUGAGGCAUUCAGGGGAGAACGGAAUUCCUGGUGUAGCGGUGAAAUGCGCAGAUAUCAGGAGGAACACCGGUGGCGAAGGCGGUUCUCUGGGACGGUACUGACGCUGAGACGCGAAAGCGUGGGGAGCGAACAGG
rnacentral:rRNA from 1 species